AUACGGAGGAUCCGAGCGUUAUCCGGAUCUAUUGGGUUUAAAGGGUGCGUAGGCGGGAGAUUAAGUCGGUGGUGAAAUUUUGCAGCUCAACUGUAAAAGUGCCAUUGAUACUGGUUUCCUUGAGUGUGGAUGAAGUAGGCGGAAUUUGCGGUGUAGCGGUGAAAUGCAUAGAUAUCACGAGGAACUCCGAUUGCGCAGGCAGCUUACUAAACCAUAACUGACGCUCAGGCACGAAGGCGUGGGGAUCAAACAGGAUUAGAUACCCUGGUAGUCCACGCAGUAAACGAUGAUUACUCGCUGUUUGCGAUACACAGCAAGCGGCUUAGCGAAAGCGUUAAGUAAUCCACCUGGGGAGUACGUUCGCAAGAAUGAAACUCAAAUGAAUUGACGGGG
rnacentral:rRNA from 1 species